GGGCGUAUAAAGACCACUAAAGCGAGGGCCAGGGCAGUUAGAAAAUAUGUUGACAAAAUGAUUACAAUGGCAAAGGAUGGUUCUCUUCAUAAGAGAAGGCAAGCCCUUGGAUUCAUUUACGAGAAGCAGAUAGUGCACCUAUUGUUUGCUGAAGUCCCAGACAGAUAUGGGGAAAUAAGAGAAGGCAAGCCCUUGGAUUUAUCUACGAGAAGCAGAUAGUGCACGCACUGUUUGCUGAAGUCCCAGACAGAUAUGGGGAAAGGAACGGAGGAUACACUAGGAUAAUAAGAACUCUACCGAGGCGAGGGGACAAUGCACCAAUGGCAUACAUCGAGCUUGUCUAGCGACUGAAUAUUCUUUUUGAAGGUUCUUUUCUGUUGGUUCUGAACUCUGAUGUGAAUUAAGAGAUUUUUGUUAGUUCCACCAAUUAUUCAACCCCAAUUUCCUGUAUGCCAUUCCAUCUUAACUUGCAGUUCUACUUGUGUUUAUUUGGUUGAUCAAAAA
rnacentral:lncRNA from 1 species